UCCCUAGCUCUGUCGGGAGAGCAUGGGACUCUUAAUCCCAGGGUCUUGGGUUCGAGUUUCACGCUGGGCAGAA